UAGGGAAUCUUCCGCAAUGGGCGAAAGCCUGACGGAGCAACGCCGCGUGAGUGAUGAAGGUCUUCGGAUCGUAAAACUCUGUUAUUAGGGAAGAACAAAUGUGUAAGUAACUAUGCACGUCUUGACGGUACCUAAUCAGAAAGCCACGGCUAACUACGUGCCAGCAGCCGCGGUAAUACGUAGGUGGCAAGCGUUAUCCGGAAUUAUUGGGCGUAAAGCGCGCGUAGGCGGUUUUUUAAGUCUGAUGUGAAAGCCCACGGCUCAACCGUGGAGGGUCAUUGGAAACUGGAAAACUUGGGUGCAGAAGAGGAAAGUUGAAUUCCAUGUGUAGCGGUGAAAUGCGCAGAGAUAUGGAGGAACACCAGUGGCGAAGGCGGCUUUCUGGUCUGUAACUGACGCUGAUGUGCGAAAGCGUGGGGAUCAAACAGG
rnacentral:rRNA from 1 species